ACCCGAUUCGAACGUUAUCACUCGAUUGAAUGGGGCGUUAUCAGCAGUUAUCAGCCCAUAGAAAUGGGCCAGGAGGGGCCUCCUGCGCCUACCAGUAGGCUCAGAAGGCCGUGAUCAUCCAUCCAAAUGGUUGAUCACCCACAAAUAUACAAGAGAAGACUCCAGAUCCAAUCCCAGAAUUCCUGCUCACCGGUAAUCGGAAGUCUACUGGACGAAUGCGGGAACGUUGCGAUAUUUCCUGCUUAAUAUUUUCAGCAUACAUCUCCAGCUGGUUGCAAGGACUUCUGUGGCAAGUUUGUUUUAUUACUUCCAUGCUCUAUGUCUUUGUUGAACUAUCCAAAAUUUGAUUUUGGGCUGUUUAGAAUUUAUUGUUCACAAAUCUGUCUUGUGCAAGUUUCUCUCUGUUUAUGUUUUAGGUUGAAGAUGGCCCAGAGAGGUUAGCCUUACAGUUGCUGAUCUAGAAGCAUUAGGCAAGAGUGUCUGAGAACAAUGAGAGAACUCCCAUUAAUGGGAAUCAAAAGGAAACCCUGAAAUCAUGUUUUAAGGAUGGAAUGACACGAGUUGGUUCAGAAUUAAUACCAAGAGCUGCAUCAGCUACUGGUUUGGACACCAGUGUCGUAGAAAUAAGGUUUACUUUUGUGCCACACUAACAAACAUCAUGUCAAAUAAAUAAAUCAUUCUGCUGCACUGCUUGUAUAAAUGAAGUGUUUUGUUAACAUUCGGUUUAAUUGGUGUAAUACCCUUUUGCUAUUUUUUUGUUUUUCAGAACUGGAUAGGUAAUUACAAAAGAUCACAAAUGACUAAUGCUUCGUCUGAGCCCCGGUCAUCAAAGGCCAAAGUUCACAUUAGAGAGCUGUCGCCUUACAAUCUUUUUUAUAGGGACAUAUUCAAAAACAAAGGCACAAUGAAUGAUAUUAAGGGCAGGUGCGCCACAUUGGGGGAAGAUGCAAAGCAGAAAUACAUUCAAGAGGCAGCAGCACUGAGGGCACAUGGGCAGUCACAGGACACUAAACCCUGAGAUGGAGGCAAUUUGUGCUGUGUCUGCCGCGUCCAUUUUGAUGAUAAGAAGAAGAAUGCAAGAAAGAAGUGGCGCUCAUGGUCUCAGUGCACAGUGUGCCAAUCAUGGUCACACACAGGACGUGGCUUUAAAAAGAACAUGUGCGUUCACUGUCAGGGUCAAGACACCAUGCUAACACCCUGAAGAUGUAUCUUGUUACUUGUUUGGGUUGUUUUUACUGUGUUGACGGCCCCCAACCCAUCCAUACAAACACACACACACAAUACAUACAUAUGCUGCAAAUUUAUUGUAAUGACCACACUUCACACGUAAGAAGAAAAUUGUGAUCUUUUUGUUAUUUUCAUUCACCCCAUUUUUAUUUAUUAUUGUUGUUUGUUGGCACCAUCAAUGUGUUCUCCUUUAUACAGAACUUAUGUGGGGACCAAUAAAGUUAUAUUGUACUGAAUUGAGUCUAAUAUAUAUAUAUAUAUACACACACCUGUUUCAUCAUUGGUUCAGUAGGGCUGGGUUUUAGCAAGGACCUCACCAUAAUAUUCACAACAGUGGGUCAGAGUAUGAUUUCAUGUUAUGAUUAGAUGCUUCACAUAACUUUAUAUUUUUCACAGUUUUGCUGUCACUAGGAGAUGCUUGGCAAAAAAUAUAUUGAAAAGAUGGUUAGUGGUACUUGUAGAAACUUUGGUAUACAGCUGAACACUACAAUUUAUUUAUUUUAAAUUUAAAUGGUUUAUAUGGCAUUGCUUACUUCCACUCUGAAGUAUUUUCUUCACAAUUACUGUUACGCUUUUAUUUUAAUGAUAAACAUUUAAGAGAAAAUGUGAAGGGUAUCAUUUUAUCUGUGUUAAGGAUAUCAAUUGUUUCUCCUUGGAUUCAGAUAAAUAAAGUUUAUUGUCAGUUUAUGUGA